rnacentral:rRNA from 1 species
GAUGAACGCUAGCGGCAGGCUUAAUACAUGCAAGUCGGGGGGCAGCAUGACUGUAGCAAUACAGUUGAUGGCGACCGGCAAACGGGUGCGUAACACGUACAGAACCUUCCUUCGAGCGGGGAAUAGCCCAGAGAAAUUUGGAUUAAUACCCCAUAGUAUUACGGAGUGGCAUCACUUUGUAAUUAAAGAUUUAUCACUUGAAGAUGGCUGUGCGGCUGAUUAGGUAGUUGGCGGGGUAACGGCCCACCAAGCCUGCGAUCAGUAACUGGUGUGAGAGCACGACCAGUCACACGGGCACUGAGACACGGGCCCGACUCCUACGGGAGGCAGCAGUAAGGAAUAUUGGUCAAUGGACGAAAGUCUGAACCAGCCAUGCCGCGUGGAGGAUGAAGGUCCUCUGGAUUGUAAACUUCUUUUAUAUGGGACGAAAAAGGGUCUUUCUAGAUCAACUGUCGGUACCAUAUGAAUAAGCACCGGCUAACUCCGUGCCAGCCGCCGCGGUAACAC